UGCAGCGCAGGAACACCGUCUUCUCCUGGUAGAAGUUGCCUCGAACAUCGCUCACGGUCUGGUGCACCGUCAGCACGGGCUCAUCCAGAUUCACAGAGAUUUUCUUUUAAUCGGAUGCCUGGCAGAGCUCACUGAUCGAGCAGAAGUCAGAAGAGUGACCGCCUCUAAGGAGAUUAUUGAUUGAGAGGGCGCAUGAAGGAAAUUUCUAGGGCCCUUUCUGAGGAACCCUCAUCACCUGGAUGGUGUUUACACAUGUACAUAUAUAUCUCACUCUCCUGGAUCACUUGCUCUGGAGAAAGCCAGCUGUCAUGUCAUGAACAGCCCUGUGGAGAGACCCGCCAGGGCAGAAAAGAAGCCUCAAGCCAACAGCCAUGGAAGUUAGCUCAGAAGUGGACCCUUGGGCUCCAGAGAGUCCUCCAAUUUCUGCAGCCUCCUGAGAGACCCCGAGCCAGAGCAGCCCUUAAGCUGCUCCAGGAUUCCUGUCCUACAGGAACUGUGAGACAAUAAGUGUUUGGUGUUUUAAGCCCCUAAAUUUUGGAGCAAUUGUUAUGCAGCCAUAGAUAACUACAAUUACAUAGGAGUUCCGUCAUGGCUCAGCGAUAAUGAACCUGACUAGUAUCCAUGAGGAUACAGGUUCAAUCCCUGG